CGCGAGCUGAGGCGGAGAGAAGCGAGUUGCCGGUGCGAAAUAUCUAAAUUUUUAAGAUUGUAUUACUGGUGAAGAUUGUGGAGAGAGAGAAAUUUUAAGGAAUAAUUUAUUGAAAAAGCCACAAGGAGAAGAGCCACGAGUGACACGUAGAGGAGUCCCAGAGGCUUAGUGGUAUAGAUCCACUGUCUCUUUUGGGUAUUUAAUUUAUGAUUUAUAAUGUGUUAUAUUGCCAAUAUUAGGACUUUUUUAUGUUUAUUGUCAAUUAUAUGAAUAUAUAAAUGUAAUCAUGCCUUUCAAACUAUUUCUAUUUUUGGUACAAUUUGGAUGACUGUAAUUUUAAUAUUUGGUUUACUUUGGAUUGGUUAAAAUGGCAUGAUUAUAAGGUCAAAUAACUGGCUUGUGUUGAAAAUUGAUUAAAUUGCUUAUUUUACUUGUUGGGAGUAUAAGGAUGGACAAAUGUGAUUUAGUUUACUUGUUGGGAGUAUAAGGAUGGACAAAUGUGAUUUAGCCUAAUGGCAUGUGGGAGGUAAAAAUUUAUCUGAAAUGUUAUAGUGUGUGAG